AUUCUCCCUUGUGAGAAAGUCGGUUUCCAUAAAACAGGCUAUUAAAAGUGGAAUUUCGUUACAGAUUUCUUGUGUGUGUGUGGUUACAAUUUGGUCACGGUUGCAGAAAUAAAGGCGUAACUGAUUUGCGAAAUAUAAAAGAAUGGUCAUAACUUCGUCACUCGUUUUAGUUGCGACGCAAUAAUUAUAUUUCCUACACAGCCUUCAAGAAAAGAUUAUAUGCUUUUGAACUAUUUGAGCGAGGCGAUUUUAUUUACAGGCACCAAAAAAUCAUUGAAAGAUGAGAAUUUUUUCCAAAGUUUAUAAAAAUAGCACUAUUUCUGGGAGUUGAUGUUAAUUGGAUGGACAAGCAGGCACAGCUUAGAGUGUUUAAAUGUGAAAUGAAUGCCAUCGGUGUUUUUAAUGCAUCAAAGAUAAAUAGGCGGGUUUGUUUUUCGACGAAAUGGCCUCGAACUUUUGAGACAAAAUAUUGUUAAAAUGGAUUUAGAGAAUAAAUAACUGCUGUGGUGCGAUUCAUUCCUAUAAGAGUAUAUCUCAUUUGGCUCUUGUUGUAAUUUAAGCUAAAUCAAAUUUAUUCUUCUUGAAGAAAGGUGGUCUGAACCCUUGUUAACUAUAUUACAUAAAAUGUCAGCUGAAAACGAAAAAAUAAUAAAUUUUAGAAAUCCUGGCCA